rnacentral:rRNA from 1 species
AUUGAACGCUGGCGGCAGGCCUAACACAUGCAAGUCGAACGAGUGGCGGACGGGUGAGUAAUGUCUGGGAAACUGCCUGAUGGAGGGGGAUAACUACUGGAAACGGUAGCUAAUACGGCAUACCAUCGGAUGUGCCAAGAUGGGAUUAGCUAGUAGGUAGGGUAACGGCUCACCGAGGCGACGAUCCCUAGCUGGUCUGAGAGGAUGACCAGCCACACUGGAACUGAGACACGGUCCAGACUCCUACGGGAGGCAGCAGUGGGGAAUCUUCCACAAUGGGCGCAAGCCUGAUGCAGCCACGCCGCGUGUAUGAAGAAGGCCUUCGGGUUGUAAAGUACUUUCAGCGGGGAGGCGUUACCUGCAGAAGAAGCCCCGGCUAACUCCGUGCCAGCCGCCGCGGUAAUAC